GUAGGUGGAGUUAGUAGUCAUUUGUGUUUGCUUAGAUUUCCUAUUUUGUCCCUGCUAUUUAUUGUACUAAUACCAAUCAUUCUAUUGUCUCUGAUUUUAAAAUCACCAGACUGACUGAGGAUCAGGUGCAAAGGAGCAAGUGUACGGACUUGCUUCAGCUCUUAAAAAAAUAAAAAUAAAUGCAUGGCCUUCAUAGUUGAUGCUUUGGAUUCCUUACACAAGAAAUUUCUGAGUCUUGAUUACUCAAUUCAAAAUCAUUGUCCAAGAGCUCAGACAAUAAGAAGUUCAAAGUCAUACUUCUCAUACUCUAUUCCCAGGUGAGGGGGCACAUUAAUCAAUCUACGAGAGGACCCUUCUUAUGUAGUAGGAAGGAUGGCAUCUGCUUCACAAUAUCCAUAUUCAAGUUGAGGCGUUCAAAAGUGUCUAGUGGUCUAUAUCUUUUCUAUGAUAGUGCCCUUCCACAUAUUGACUUUCAUCCAGUAUUUCACUGUCAUGUGGCCACAAAGUGUAAUUUCCUUACCUAUUAGGAUGAAGAAGUUUAAAUUCCAUA